rnacentral:lncRNA from 1 species
ACGUCCUGUGCACCAUUUGGUUGGGACAAGAGAGGCUGGCGGUUACCUUUCUUGGGGAGACGCGUCCGACUGCUUCAUUGUGGGGGCCUCAGGAGCGGAGGAUCGGGUCCCGCCCGAGGUGACGCGUAAACCCAGACUCUCAGCAACGCGGGUAGGAAGGACCCUUGAAGUUCCGCGGCGACCACGUCGGCUGAAACCAGCAGCCCAGGACAAGUGGACCAGCCAGCAAGACCCAGACCAUCCAAACCGGCUGAUCCUACGACAGGACCCAGAUGCCAGUGAAAGUGACCACAGCCCUGCUCUAGUCACCCCGGAAGCUGACCAGUCUACGCACGGCCGAAGCUUCGUCAAGGAAGUAAAUGUAGUUAGAAAUCUUAAGCCCAGUAAUUUUCCUUGUCAUCUUAAUUGUUUUACUAUUAACCUGUCGCUUUGCUCAACCCCCUCCU